UACGAAGGGGGCUAGCGUUGCUCGGAAUUACUGGCGUAAGCGUGCGCAGGCGGUUUGUAAGUCUGUCGUGAAAUCCCGGGCUCAACCUGGGAAUUGCGUUGGAGACUGCAAGGCUAGAAUCUGGCAGAGGGGGUAGAAUUCCACGUGUAGCAGUGAAAUGCGUAGAGAGUGUGGAGGAACACCGAUGGCGAAGGCAGCCCCCUGGGUCAA
rnacentral:rRNA from 1 species